GCUCGUCUCUCACUCGUCCCGGCUCUCCUGACACCUCCCACUCCUGCUCUACGCCUCCUCCGUGCUCGUCCCCUGCGAGAGCCCUGCUCCUUGUCUGGGUUCAGGAAGUAGCUAAUGAAUCCUGGGAUGUUGCCUUGGAACACUUCAAACCGCUCAUCCCAUUCUUCACCCUCCGUGACAUCUCUGGCUUCUCCUUGAGGGUUAGCCCACCAGCCCUGAGGGUCUACAGCACAUGAAGCCAACUGAUUGGGAAAACAAAGGAGGGAUGGGGGGUUAGGGGCGUAUGGCUGUGCCACAUCUACAGAUGUGUGUCCAGCAGCUAUGGAGUCUUGCACAGAGGCUGCAGGAGCAGAGGAAGGCUGGGAUGUGUGGUUUUGAUCUGACGUGUAGACGAUGGAUAAGGGCACACAGGGAAUUUGAGGGGUAACAAAAUGCGAGUUCGUGUCUCCCAAUCCCUGGAGAGCAGUGACUUCAAUGGUCUCAAAGGAGGCUGCUGGGUGAGUAGAGGGAGCUGUGUUUACCUGCAGCUCCUCUGUCUGUGUCCACAUGUCUUUUUGACUUUCCGACAGUAUUUCUUUCCACAGAACAGUGCUCCCAUCCCUUAUGUCUCGCCUCCACCUGCUCCGCUUUGGCUCAGCCUCCCUUGACAUCAGAGGCUCUGUCUGAACUCCCACCUCCGUGUGCUGGCCUCCUCCUUCCUCAUUCUCGCUUUUAUGACCCCUUUUCUUGACCUCCACCAGCCCAUGGAUGCCCAACCUGGCUGCAGCCGAAAUAGCCUCUUGCUUCUCCUUCUCCCCCUCCCCUGCCAUCUCUCCAGAGUACAGCAGCCUGACCAUGUGGAGCAGGGUGCAGGCACCGAGAGCCCGGAAGUCCAGGAGACGGCUCUGUCCUGCAGGGGGCACUGGCAAGGAGGACAGAGUGGAGGAGAUGUGCGGGCUGAUAGCUGACAGGAUGCAGCUGUGUGCUGGCACUGAAACACCUGGAGGAGAGCUCAGCGAGGAGGAGGACCUCAAAUCCUGGUUUUUGGUAGCACCACAUUUCCUCACCCACUUAUGUGGAGCAUCAAAGAGGAGGAGUGUCGCUGAUCUGAAUAAAAGUAAUGAAAAUGCACAUUUGGAGCUUGGUGUUAUUAUUUCCUACCACAUAAAACUGGCAGCUACAUAGACCUAAUAAUAUUUCUACCUUUGUCGUUUCAUAGUAUGCAAAGGACAGCUUAGUAGGGUGGCCAAGGUGUCGAAUAUAUCACACAUACUGUUUAACUUUUUAAGUUUUCUAAUACAAAGUAACUCUGCAUUAACACGUGAAGGCUGGUUUUUUAACGCCUGUUCGCUGCUGGGCCCGUUUUUCCUCAUUUUCACGUCAAA
rnacentral:lncRNA from 1 species